UCUCCGUUGGUGAACCAACGGAGGGAUCAUUACCGAGUUUACAACUCCCAAACCCAAUGUGAACCAUACCAAACUGUUGCCUCGGCGGGGUCACGCCCCGGGUGCGUCGCAGCCCCGGAACCAGGCGCCCGCCGGAGGGACCAACCAAACUCUUUCUGUAGUCCCCUCGCGGACGUUAUUUCUUACAGCUCUGAGCAAAAAUUCAAAAUGAAUCAAAACUUUCAACAACGGAUCUCUUGGUUCUG
rnacentral:misc_RNA from 1 species